CGUGGGUGAUCUGCCCUGCACUUCGGGAUAAGCCUGGGAAACUGGGUCUAAUACCGGAUAUGACUUCAGGUUGCAUGACUUGGGGUGGAAAGAUUUAUCGGUGCAGGAUGGGCCCGCGGCCUAUCAGCUUGUUGGUGGGGUAAUGGCCUACCAAGGCGACGACGGGUAGCCGACCUGAGAGGGUGACCGGCCACACUGGGACUGAGACACGGCCCAGACUCCUACGGGAGGCAGCAGUGGGGAAUAUUGCACAAUGGGCGAAAGCCUGAUGCAGCGACGCCGCGUGAGGGAUGACGGCCUUCGGGUUGUAAACCUCUUUCAGCAGGGACGAAGCGCAAGUGACGGUACCUGCAGAAGAAGCACCGGCUAACUACGUGCCAGCAGCCGCGGUAAUACGUAGGGUGCAAGCGUUGUCCGGAAUUACUGGGCGUAAAGAGUUCGAAGGCGGUUUGUCGCGUCGUUUGUGAAAACCAG
rnacentral:rRNA from 2 species